UAAGCCAUACGAGUCGACACAGCAAUGUGUGGCAUACGGCUCAGUAACACGUAGUCAACAUGCCCAGGGGACGUGGAUAACCUCGGGAAACUGAGGAUAAACCGCGAUAGGUCACUACUUCUGGAAUGGGUAAUGACCCAAACCUAUAUGGCCCCUGGAUUGGACUGCGGCCGAUCAGGCUGUUGGUGAGGUAAUGGCCCACCAAACCUGUAACCGGUACGGGCUCUGAGGGGAGGAGCCCGGAGAUGGGCACUGAGACAAGGGCCCAGGCCCUAUGGGGCGCAGCAGGCGCGAAACCUCUGCAAUAGGCGAAAGCUUGACAGGGUUACUCUGAGUGAUUUCCGUUAAGGAGAUCUUUUGGCACCUCUAAAAAUGGUGCAGAAUAAGGGGUGGGCAAGUCUGGUGUCAGCCGCCGCGGUAAUACCAGCACCCCGAGUGGUCGGGACGUUUAUUGGGCCUAAAGCAUCCGUAGCCGGUUCUACAAGUCUUCCGUUAAAUCCACCUGCUUAACAGAUGGGCUGCGGAAGAUACUAUGGAGCUAGGAGGCGGGAGAGGCAAGCGGUACUCGAUGGGUAGGGGUAAAAUCCGUUGAUCCAUUGAAGACCACCAGUGGCGAAGGCGGCUUGCCAGAACGCGCUC
rnacentral:rRNA from 1 species